rnacentral:rRNA from 1 species
UACAGAGGGGGCAAGCGUUGUUCGGAAUUACUGGGCGUAAAGGGCGCGUAGGCGGCCUUCUAAGUCGAACGUGAAAUCCCCGGGCUCAACCCGGGAACUGCGUCCGAGACUGGAAGGCUCGAAUCCGGGAGAGGGAUGUGGAAUUCCAGGUGUAGCGGUGAAAUUCGUAGAUAUGGGGAGGAACACCGGUGGCGAAGGCGGCCACCUGGACGGUAACUGACGCUGAGACGCGAAAGCGUGGGGAGCAAACAGG